UACGGGGGGAGCAAGCGUUGUUCGGAUUCAUUGGGCGUAAAGGGUGCGUAGGCGGCGCGGUAAGUCGGGUGUGAAAUCUCGGAGCUUAACUCCGAAACUGCAUUCGAUACUGCCGUGCUUGAGGACUGGAGAGGAGACUGGAAUUUACGGUGUAGCAGUGAAAUGCGUAGAGAUCGUAAGGAAGACCAGUGGCGAAGGCGGGUCUCUGGACAGUUCCUGACGCUGAGGCACGAAGGCCAGGGGAGCAAACGGG
rnacentral:rRNA from 1 species